UGGGGAAUAUUGGACAAUGGGGGAAACCCUGAUCCAGCGACGCCGCGUGUGUGAAGAAGGCCUGCGGGUUGUAAAGCACGUUCGGUGGGAACGAAAUAUGCCGGGCUAAUACCCCGGUAGGCUGACGUUACUCAAUGAAGAAGCACCGGCUAACUCUGUGCCAGCAGCCGCGGUAAUACAGAGGGUGCGAGCGUUAAUCGGAAUUACUGGGCGUAAAGCGCACGUAGGUGGCGACGUAAGUCGGGUGUGAAAGCCCCGGGCUCAACCUGGGAACUGCGUUUGAAACUGGGGAGCUAGAGUGUAGAAGAGGGGGGUGGAAUUCCAGGUGUAGCAGUGAAAUGCGUAGAGAUCUGGAGGAACACCGAUGGCGAAGGCAGCCCCCUGGGCUAACACUGACGCUCAUGCACGAAAGCGUGGGGAGCAAACAGGAUUAGAUACCCCCGUAGUCCCUGAGCGGGCUGGCAAGGCGCAU
rnacentral:rRNA from 1 species